rnacentral:lncRNA from 1 species
CACGUGUUGGCUUUGGCCUCGUUGUAUUGGCUGAUCCAGAAGCUGGGCUCCUUCUUCUGCAUCUUUGCCACAAAGCUCAGGAUGUCCUUCUUGGAAGUCUCCUUGGCAGCCCUCGGCCCCCACUGGAAGUUGAACUCGGGGGGGUCCGUCAGGGGGAUGGGGGUGAUCUCCAGGUACUUCUGCCUCACGAACUCCUCCAUCACCAGCUUCUUGACGUCUCCAAACACCUCGUGCUUCUCCCCUGGGUGCACCCGGAGCCGGCGCAGGAACUCCCAUACGGCACUGUCUUUGGCUGAGUUGCCCUUCAUGAAGAUGAAGCUGAGGAUGACGAUGAGGAGGCCCAGCUUGGCUGUCUGUAUAUCCUGUUUCAGGUUCUCCCCCUCGACACGGGGCAGGGUGCUGGUGAGGAUGUAGAUGUGGUGCUUGGUGUCAAUCUCCACCAUCUGCAACCCGAACACCUGCUGCAGGGUCCUGCCUGCCCGGUUGACAAUCUCUGAGUAAACAUCUUUGUAUUCACGGAUGACUUUUUUCAGGAUGUCUACUCUUUUAAUAGGGAUUUUCUUCUGGUCUUUCACAAGCAAGAACUGCACCAGCUCGGUCACCUUCCUAUUGAUCUCCUCCUGGGAGCGGCUCUCCAGGUUCCUCUGCACUUGGCUGGGGCUCUGCGUGGGGACCACGCUGAAAUCCUCAUCGUCGCCCUGGGUGAGGCCGGAGCCUCUGCUGCGCUUCCUCUGAGACAUCCCUCCCUCAGGCCGC